GUCCGUAGGCGGUUUGGUAAGUCAGUGGUGAAAGCCCAUCGCUUAACGAUGGAACGGCCAUUGAUACUGCCAGACUUGAAUUACUAGGAAGUAACUAGAAUAUGUAGUGUAGCGGUGAAAUGCUUAGAUAUUACAUGGAAUACCAAUUGCGAAGGCAGGUUACUACUAGUGGAUUGACGCUGAUGGACGAAAGCGUGGGUAGCGAACAGGAUUAGAUACCCUGGUAGUCCACGCCGUAAACGAUGGAUACUAGCUGUUCGGGGCAACCUGAGUGGCUAAGCGAAAGUGAUAAGUAUCCCACCUGGGGAGUACGUUCGCAAGAAUGAAACUCAAAGGAAUUGACGGGGGCCCGCACAAGCGGUGGAGCAUGUGGUUUAAUUCGAUGAUACGCGAGGAACCUUACCAAGGCUUAAAUGUAGAUUGACCGUUUUGGAAACAGAACUUUCGCAAGACAAUUUACAAGGUGCUGCAUGGUUGUCGUCAGCUCGUGCCGUGAGGUGUCAGGUUAAGUCCUAUAACGAGCGCAACCCCUGUUGUUAGUUGCCAUCGAGUCUAGUCGGGAACUCUAACAAGACUGCCAGUGUAAAACUGUGAGGAAGGUGGGGAUGACGUCAAAUCAUCACGGCCCUUACGCCUUUGGGCUACACACGUGCUACAAUGGACGGUACAGAGAGCAG
rnacentral:rRNA from 1 species